rnacentral:piRNA from 1 species
ACUUUAAAUUAUGACACUCUGGAG